UCCCUGGUGGCUCAGAUGGUAAAGCAUCUACCUACAGUGUGGGAGACCCAGGUUUGAUCCCUGGUCAGGAAG
rnacentral:tRNA from 1 species